rnacentral:rRNA from 1 species
UGCAGAGGGGGCAAGCGUUAUUCGGAAUUAUUGGGCGUAAAGGGCGCGUAGGCGGCUUAGCAAGUGACGGGUGAAAUCCCUCGGCUUAACCGAGGAACUGCCUGUCAAACUGCAUGGCUUGAGACCGGGAGAGGUGAGUGGAAUUCCCAGUGUAGCGGUGAAAUGCGUAGAUAUUGGGAGGAACACCAGUGGCGAAGGCGACUCACCGGACCGGUACUGACGCUGAUGCGCGAAAGCGUGGGGAGCAAACAGG